GGGGCCUUGGCUCAGUGAUAGAGCACUUGCCUCGAAUGUAUGAGGCCCUGGGUUCGAUCCUCAGCACCA
rfam:Ictidomys tridecemlineatus contig049872, whole genome shotgun sequence.